rnacentral:rRNA from 1 species
GGCGGACGGGUGAGUAACGCGUGGGUAACCUGCCCUAUGCAGGGGGACAACACCGGGAAACUGGUGCUAAUACCGCAUAAUAUAUGAGGUUCGCAUGAACCUUAUAUCAAAGAUUUAUCGGCAUAGGAUGGACCCGCGUUGGAUUAGCUAGUUGGUGAGAUAACAGCCCACCAAGGCGACGAUCCAUAGCCGGCCUGAGAGGGUGAACGGCCACACUGGGACUGAGACACGGCCCAGACUCCUACGGGAGGCAGCAGUGGGGAAUAUUGCACAAUGGGCGCAAGCCUGAUGCAGCGACGCCGCGUGAAGGAUGAAGGUCUUCGGAUCGUAAACUUCUAUCAGCAGGGAGGAACCAAAUGACGGUACCUGACUAAGAAGCCCCGGCUAACUACGUGCCAGCAGCCGCGGUAAUACGUAGGGGGCAAGCGUUAUCCGGAUUUACUGGGUGUAAAGGGUGCGUAGGUGGCAAUGUAAGUCAGAUGUGAAACCUUGGGGCUCAACCUCAAGCAUGCAUCUGAAACUGCGUAGCUAGAGUGCAGGAGAGGAAAGUGGAAUUCC